UACGUAGGGGGCGAGCGUUGUCCGGAAUCAUUGGGCGUAAAGCGCGUGUAGGCGGCCCGGCAAGUCCGCUGUGAAAGUCCAGGGCUCAACCCUGGGAUGCCGGUGGAUACUGUCGGGCUCGAGUCCGGAAGAGGCGAGUGGAAUUCCUGGUGUAGCGGUGAAAUGCGCAGAUAUCAGGAGGAACACCAAUGGCGAAGGCAGCUCGCUGGGACGUGACUGACGCUGAGACGCGAAAGCGUGGGGAGCAAACAGG
rnacentral:rRNA from 1 species